rnacentral:rRNA from 1 species
UACGUAGGGCGCAAGCGUUAUCCGGAAUUAUUGGGCGUAAAGAGCUCGUAGGCGGUUUGUCGCGUCUGCCGUGAAAGUCCGGGGCUCAACUCCGGAUCUGCGGUGGGUACGGGCAGACUAGAGUGAUGUAGGGGAGACUGGAAUUCCUGGUGUAGCGGUGAAAUGCGCAGAUAUCAGGAGGAACACCGGUGGCGAAGGCGGGUCUCUGGGCCGUAACUGACGCUGAGGGGCGAAAGCAUGGGGAGCGAACAGG